rnacentral:pre_miRNA from 1 species
GAUGUACUCCUUUUGUUCGGAAUUACUUGUCACAAAAAUGAAUGUAUCUACAACUAAAAUACAUCUAGAUACAUUCAUUUUUUAGACGAGUAAUUUCGAACGGAGGGAGUAACAA